rnacentral:rRNA from 1 species
UAAAAGCACGUGAAGCCGUUGAAAGGGAAACGCGCUCGGCUAGCAAUGUGCCACGACGGUUCAGCCGUUUUGGGCGGCGAGGUGGCUGCUGUCGGAUCCGAAGGACCGCUGUAGUCGUCGUCGCUGUCCGAAAUGCGGUGCACUCUUUCGUGGUACGCGUCAGCGUCGGUUCGCAGCGGGCGAUAAGGCCUUGUGGAAGGUAGCUAGGGGCUCGCCCCUAGUGUUAUAGACGCAGGAGCUGGGCUCGCUAGGACCGAGGAGAGAGAGUAUCGUUGCAGCGCAUGCCGCAAGGCUAGCUACCUGCCGUCUGUCUCGCUUCACGGACUGAGGACUGCACGCAGUGCUCGGACUGGCGGAGUGGUCCGGCGGUGGAUUGGUAUAAAUGCGCUCAGGACGCUGGCGUCCAAAAUGGCCGUGCGCGA